rnacentral:rRNA from 1 species
UACGGAAGGGGCAAGCGUUGUUCGGAAUCAUUGGGCGUAAAGGGCGCGCAGGUGGCUCUGUAUGUCUGCCGUGAAAGCAUACAGCUCAACUGUAUUGUGUCGGUAGAAACUGCAGGACUUGAGGCUGGGAGGGGCUGGUGGAAUUCCCUGUGUAGCGGUGAAAUGCGUAGAGAUGGGGGAGAACACUCGUGGCGAAGGCGGCCAGCUAGACCAGUUCUGACACUGAGGCGCGACAGCGUGGGGAGAAAACAGG